AAACUCAAAGGAAUUGGCGGGGGAGCACACAACGGGUGGAGCCUGCGGUUUAAUUGGAUUCAACGCCGGGAAGCUUACCGGGACGAGGUGGUGCAUGGCCGUCGUCAGUUCGUACUGUGAAGCAUCCUGUUAAGUCAGGCAACGAGCGCGACCCACGCCCACAGUUGCUACUCUGUGGGGACCGCCGCUGCUAAAGCGGAGGAAGGAAUGGGCAACGGUAGGUCAGUAUGCCCCGAAUGUCUCGGGCUACACGCGGGCUACAAUGGGUGGUACAAUGGGUAUCUACCCCGAAAGGGGAUGGAAAUCUCCUAAAGCCAAUCUUAGUUCGGAUCGAGGGCUGCAACUCGCCCUCGUGAAGCUGGAAUCCGUAGUAAUCGCGUUUCAAUAGAACGCGGUGAAUACGUCCCUGCUCCUUGCACACACCGCCCGU
rnacentral:rRNA from 1 species